UUACAUCCUUCCUUCCACACCUCACCCAAGGGUCUUCCCUUCUCUGCACCCUUGUCCCCAUCUGCGUCCCUCAGACCCUCGAGUGGAGGCCACCGCCCUCAGUCCCCCACCAUCCUCCCCCUCCCCAGCUCCCACCCCUGCCUGUGGGGCCUGGAAACGAGAGAGGAAAUGACUGGGACGCUCUGGUCCCCGCCUGCCUGCGUCCGCGCCCGUGGCCACACCCUCCACCCUGAGGCAGCUCCCACGCGGUACUCUGACACUUCAGUCUGGAGAUCUCCGGCUCGGACAUGUCACCGUCCAGUCGCCUGUGUCUCCUCACUAUUGUCGCCCUGAUUCUGCCCAGCAGAGGGCAGACACCAAAAAAGCCCACAUCCAUUUUUACAGUGGACCAGACUUCUGCAACUACUCGUGACAAUGUCCCAGAUCCAGAUCAAACCAGCCCAGGAGUCCAGACCACCCCUCCCAUCUGGACCAGUGAAGGUGGUGGUGAGUGGAAGGGGAAGGG